ACUCGAGGUCCUGGAGCCCAUCCUGACCCUCUGGGUUGGAAUUUCUGACUCCUCUCCGCCUUGACUCAGAAUAGGAACCGGUAUCCUGACCGCGCGCUGCUUUUUAUAGAAUUCAACUUUCUGGCCAACUUCCUCCAGAAAUCAUCCCUCAUCGGCUCUCAACCUCUCAACGAUACGCCAAUCAUCUGCUGGAAGGGAGGGGAGCGCGGACCUGUGUGCCCCAAACACGGCCCAGGCCCAGAGCACAAGACAGACCGCGGGGACGGCGUCUGGCGCGGGUGCCCGGCCUGGUGUCCCAGCCAAAAAGAGAGUGUCAAGGAGAAGGCAUAACAUGUCUGACUCCGUUAUACAGACACACCAAGUCAGCACUUCAACUCAAGAGACCUCCCAAAAUAUACAUGGCACAGAAACACACUGUUGGAAGAAAUUCCCCUUCCUUCUGUGGACAUACUGGAAUAGGAUACCAUCCGUGUGGCUCCCUCUCGGGGAAGAGACUGAAGCUGAAGAAGAUAAAGUGACUGGCCCAAGGUCACCCCUUGGUAAACUGUGAGUCCAGGUUGCUAACUCAGGUCUCAAGCUUUGAGCCCCAGACCUCAUGCUUUUCACCCUAAGGGCUUCCAAGGUAAAGGUGGGUUGGGAACCUCAGGUGCUAGGUUUGGCCUUGAUGUCUAACAUUUCUGAACUCUCUUACUGUUAAGCAAAUUAAAAUAGGAAUAUCGCAUCCCACAAGCCUUUUACGUACAAGGAUUCAGCCACCUGUGCUUGGGGAGGGAGGAACAGUGUCAUGAGUACAGGCAGCUCCCAUAGCAGGCUACGGGAUGUGUGCAUGUCCAGGGUGAGUUCUGGGUGGGACCUGAGGUUGGCUAUACCUUGUCAGGCUCAGCAAUCACCAACCUCUCCUCGUAUGUGGCCUUGGCUGCCCUGAGUGGCAGUCCAGUGUUUAUAAAUGUUUUUAACGUGUUUAAGGACCGUCAUUUCUCACACAAUAUGUCCCCUAAAUACAAGAAAAGCACUUCAUUGGUUCUCAACCAAAGAACAAUGUGGGAUUCUGGCUGGUCAGAGCCUAAUGUAUUGAGAGAUGGUCUAUGAUGACCAAUGUGGCUGCUUUCUAAAGGAUUUUUUUUUUUUAAAUAUAUUUUAUUGAUUUUUC